CAUCAGCCAUCAGUCACCGGGAGAGCAGGGAGCUGCAGAUCCUUCGGACAGACAGGUGGAUAAUGAAGUGAGCCGUGAAUUGCUAAUUACCUCCAGGGCAGGACUGUCAGACAGAGACUGUACAUGUGGAAGGUGCUUGAUAUUCCAGAUCAAUAGAAGGAAGGAAAAAAGUACUCUAUAAAUCAGGCGCUCACCUCCCAGUCUGCAUUGGCGCAGUGAAUCAAGUUCACCAAGCAUGUCAAGUGAUAUGACCAGAGGUUAAUCACAACCAAUUAAUGGGAACAGCUGUUAUUUUGUGCUAAGUAAGUACGUCUAGCCAGGGAGUAGCAGAAUCUGAGAGCAUAGGUAAAUGUGUACACAACUCCGGAAGCAUCAAAUAUCUGAAGAGCAGUAAAUAAUAAUUUAUUUAUUUUUUUUUGCAAUAUUA